ensembl:lncRNA
AUGCCAUCAAGAUGUGAAGAGCUUCCCAUGCCAGAUGUGCCAAUAAGGCCAACUCCACCCAGAGACACCCUGAAAAUUGAUCACCUCCUUACCCUCCUCAUUCAAAAAAUAGUAACCAUAGAAAGUGAGAUGAAGGCAAUGAGGAGCUCAAUAGCAGCCAUGCAUGAACUUUAUGCUCGUGCCCUGGGUGAUGGGACUUGCCAGCAAGCAGAGGAGAUGAGCCUUGAAGUGUGUGGCACCAUCAAUAAACUCCUCUCCCUUGAAGAAAAGAUGAAAGACGACACCUUUAGGAAGAAAGUGACACAUCAUUUAUGCCUCGUUGGAGGUCCAAACCCUGGGGAGAACACCCGGCGGGUAAUGCGGGCAGUGGCCUCCUACGGCGUUUGGAAGGAAUUCAGCCUAAAGGGGAAAAAAGUAAAGAGACCACUCCAAAACCUGAUUAUCAUGAAAAUCUUAAUAAAGGCAGUGAUGAGGUCCAAUCCUGGGAUCCAGCAAGCCAAAGUGGAAGACAUUGUAGCAGACACAUUAAAACAUACUCCAGCAAGGUGUCAGAAUGUAAGCUUCUUUUUAAGUUCUAUCUUAAAGGAUCCUAAAAUUUCACGGUUUGAAAUGUGUUUAAAUUUUGAUUCUGUUGUUUGUAAGGAUGUUAGUGAUAUAUAUUUCAUGAAUAGCAGAACUUUUAAUAACUAAUUUUCUUUUUGUUUUGUUUUGUUUUUUAAAGAGUGUCUUCUAAAUCAGCAAGUUAGGAGUUACCUGUAGCCUAAAGAUGUUUUUUGAAUAAGAGUGUACAUUAUGAAUGUACUAUAGGUAUGAAUUAUUAGGGCUGGGUGAUAUGGGCAAAAAUUUAUCUCUCUAUUUUUUGGGCCGAUUUACAAUAAACGGUAUAUAUCUCGGUAUUCUCGUUUUUGUAUAUAUAUAAACAAAUCUGUAUGUAAUAUAUAAAUACACACACAAUACAGACCAAAAGUUGGACACACCUUCUCAUUCAAAGAGUUUUCUUUAUUUUCAUGACUAUGAAAAUUGUAGAUUCACACUGAAGGCAUCAAAACUAUGAAUUAACACAUGUGGAAUUAUAUACAUAACAAAAAAGUGUGAAACAACUGAAAAUAUGUCAUAUUGUAGGUUCUUCAAAGUAGCCACCUUUUGCUUUGAUUACUGCUUUGCACACUCUUGGCCUUCUCUUGAUGAGCUUCAAGAGGUAGUCACCUGAAAUGGUCUUCCAACAGUCUUGAAGGAGUUCCCGAGAGAUGCUUAGCACUUGUUGACCCUUUUGCCUUCUGUCUGCGGUCCAGCUCACCACUAAACCAUCUCGAUUGGGUUCAGGUCCGGUGACUGUGGAGACCAGGUCAUCUGGCGCAGCACCCCUUCACUCUCCUUCUUGGUCAAAUAACCCUUACACAGCCUGGAGGUGUGUUUGGGGUCAUUGUCAUGUUGAAAAAUAAAUGAUGGUCCAACUAAACGCAAACUGGAUGGAAUAGCAUGCCGCUGCAAGAUGCUGUGGUAUCCAUGCUGGUUCAGUAUGCCUUCAAUUUUGAAUAAAUCCCCAACAGUGUCACCAGCAAAGCACCCCCACACCAUCACACCUCCUCCUCCAUUCUUCACGGUGGGAACCAGGCAUGUAGAGUCCAUCCGUUCACCUUUUCUGUGUCGCACAAAGACACGGUGGUUGGAACCAAAGAUCUCAAAUUUGGACUCAUCAGACCAAAGCACAGAUUUCCACUGGUCUAAUGUCCUUCCUUGUGUUCUUUAGCCCAAACAAGUCUCUUCUGCUUGUUGCAUUCUUUAGCAGUGGUUUCCUAGCAGAUAUUCUACCAUGAAGGCCUGAUUCACACAGUCUCCUCUUAACAGUUGUUCUAGAGAUGUGUCUGCUGCUAGAACUCUGUGUGCCAUUGACCUGGUCUCUAAUCUGAGCUGCUGUUAACCUGCGAUUUCUGAGGCUGGUGACUCGUAUGAACUUAUCCUCCGCAGCAGAGGUGACUCUUGGUCUACCUUUCAUGGGGUGGUCCGCAUGUGAGCCAGUUUCUUUGUAGCGCUUGAUGGUUUUUGUGACUGCACUUGGGGACACUUACAAAGUUUUCCCAAUUUUUCGGACUCACUGACCUUCAUUUCUUAAAGUAAUGAUGGCCACUCGUUUUCCUGUACUUAGCUGCUUUUUUUUUCUUGCCAUAAUACAAAUUUUAACAGUCUAACAGGACUGUCAGCUGUGUAUCCACCUGACUUCUGCACAACACAACUGAUGGUCCCAAGCCCAUUUAUAAGGCAAGAAAUCACACUUAUUAAACCUGACAUGGCACACCUGUGAAGUGAAGACCAUUUCAGGUGACUACCUCUUGAAGCUCAUCAAGAGAAUGCCAAGAGUGUGCAAAGCAGUAAUCAAAGCAAAAGGUUGCUACUUUGAAGAACCUACAAAUAUGACAUAUUUUCAGUUGUUUCACAAUUUUUG